rnacentral:lncRNA from 1 species
AUGUGUUUCCACGGCUGUGCCUCUUCUGUCCUGAUACCUCCCUUGAAAAUACUAGUUGUCCUCACAUGUGAUAGCAUGACUUAUCAAAACAAUAACAGCAAAAACAAGGCAGCUGGGAAGGAAAUCACGCCACCCAUGGACACAAAGAAGAGUUGCAAGGAGGAGGAGGUGGUAGCUGGGGAUGGGCAGGCAGAAGAGGAUUUCUGUUUGGACAGUGGAGCCUCAGAAUGAAAGAGAUGCGGUCCAAUAAGCA